GGAGAAACUUUCUAAAGAGGUUCAGUUCGGGCGCAUGGCAGGGCCAUUCCGGGACCUCCCGAUACCGGGUUUGAGGUUGUUCCCAAUAGGGGUGGUCCCCAAGAAGGAAGCGGGGAAGUAUCGGCUCAUACAUCACCUGUCGCACCCGAAAGGGGCGUCAGUGAAUGAUGAGAUUGAAAGGGAGCUAUGCUCGGUUAAGAU